GUUAGAUUUAGUUCAAAUUCAAACCAAUUUGAAUUCAAAACACAACCACUUGAUCCUUAUCCAAGAGGGGUGCCAAAAGGGUGAGGCAUGAGACAUUUCUCAUGUAAUUCUCUUCUCAAUUGUUGCACAAAAAAUUCAGCCUCUUAAGGGUGGCAUUCAGAGGAACUUAGGAUAAGGAUGGAGGUACGAUUCAAAAUCAAAAAUCUUUCAAACUUGAAUUCAGAAUCCAAGUUUUAUCCUCUCCACUUGGAUUAAGAGGAGGGGUGAGAGAAUAUUUGUGGGCAU
rnacentral:lncRNA from 1 species